ACCUGGAUGGCACAGUGGUCAGUGCAUCUACCUAGUAAGCAGGAGCCCCAGGUUCAAAUCCUGGUCUGGUGAA